rnacentral:rRNA from 1 species
UGGGGAAUUUUCCGCAAUGGGGGCAACCCUGAUCUAGCCAUGCCGCGUGUGUGAUGAAGGCCCUAGGGUCGUAAAGCACUUUCGCCAGGGAAGAUAAUGACGGUACCUGGUAAAGAAACCCCGGCUAACUCCGUGCCAGCAGCCGCGGUAAUACGGAGGGGGUUAGCGUUGUUCGGAAUUACUGGGCGUAAAGCGCGCGUAGGCGGAUCGGAAAGUUGGGGGUGAAAUCCCGGGGCUCAACCCCGGAACUGCCUCCAAAACUAUCGGUCUAGAGUUCGAGAGAGGUGAGUGGAACUCCGAGUGUAGAGGUGAAAUUCGUAGAUAUUCGGAAGAACACCAGUGGCGAAGGCGGCUCACUGGCUCGAUACUGACGCUGAGGUGCGAAAGUGUGGGGAGCAAACAGGAUUAGAUACCCGCGUAGUCC